UUCUCGCUCAAAGAAUCGCAUUCGAAGCACACAAACAGAAAUAUCUUUAUUGAUGUUUCAAUUCACAUUCAUGCUUUGGGAGAAAGUCCCCGGACACCCUACUUUUUAAAAGUUAGGAUUGCGGAAACGCGUCGCCAUAGAAGCACUUGCGGCUUCUCUUCUACCAACUCUUUUAUCUUCAUUUCAUACAUCCUACUACCGAUUGUACUAUUACCUGGACGCUUCUUGACGAUUGAGUUCGGAGCAUGGAAGACCACAUGGAUGAAGAUAUGAGUCCGAGCUUCUUUGCGAUGUUUUCACUUCGACUUGAAGAAGAUGAGUGAUAAGAGGUGGAAGGUAUGUUCCUGAUUGAGAUGGGGAGUGCUAAUGGUAGAAGAGGCUUUUUCGUCGAGAUCGAUAGUUAUGCGAUUGCUUUCUUUUGCUGCAAAGCUGGGAAGGUAACUCGAUGGGGCUUAUUCUUGAUGCGAGG
rnacentral:RNase_MRP_RNA from 2 species